UAGUGUAAAGGUUAACACACUUGGCUAGCAACCAAAAGAUUGGAGGUUUAAGUCCACC
rnacentral:tRNA from 1 species